rnacentral:rRNA from 1 species
UACAGAGGGGGCAAGCGUUGUUCGGAAUUACUGGGCGUAAAGGGCGCGUAGGCGGCCUGUUAAGUCGAACGUGAAAUCCCCGGGCUCAACCCGGGAACUGCAUCCGAUACUGGAUGGCUUGAAUCCGGGAGAGGGAUGCAGAAUUCCAGGUGUAGCGGUGAAAUGCGUAGAUAUCUGGAGGAAUACCGGUGGCGAAGGCGGCAUCCUGGACCGGCAUUGACGCUGAUG